rnacentral:rRNA from 1 species
UGGGGAAUAUUGGACAAUGGGCGCAAGCCUGAUCCAGCAAUGCCGCGUGUGUGAAGAAGGCCUUCGGGUUGUAAAGCACUUUUAUCAGGAGCGAAACGCUGUCGGCUAAUACCCGGCGGAACUGACGGUACCUGAGGAAUAAGCACCGGCUAACUUCGUGCCAGCAGCCGCGGUAAUACGAAGGGUGCAAGCGUUAAUCGGAAUUACUGGGCGUAAAGCGUGCGUAGGCGGUUUCUUAAGUCUGCUGUGAAAUCCCCGGGCUCAACCUGGGAAUGGCAGUGGAUACUGGGAGGCUAGAGUGUGUCAGAGGGUGGUGGAAUUCCCGGUGUAGCGGUGAAAUGCGUAGAGAUCGGGAGGAACAUCAGUGGCGAAGGCGGCCACCUGGGACAACACUGACGCUGAGGCACGAAAGCGUGGGGAGCAAACAGGAUUAGAUACCCUGGUAGUCCACGCCCUAAACGAUGCGAACUGGAUGUUGGUCUCAACUCGGAGAUCAGUGUCGAAGCUAACGCGUUAAGUUCGCCGCCUGGGGAGUACGGUCGCAAGACUGAAACUUAAAUGAAUUGACGGGGUCAUAGCUG